AAGGGAAAUUGAAGCCAAAAAUUCUGCAAUUUAGGUGUGAGUGUGUGCGUAGAACAUCAGGAGAAACACAAAGGGAGCCAAAACCCUUGUUCAUCAAGAAUCACUAAAUUGGUGAUGAAUUUACGAUCCAAUCUUAUGCAUGAAUGAAGAAUUAUCAUCAUCUCAACCUUACAAACAUGUGGAUCAUGUCAAGGUGGGUGGAAGCGUGGAAGGCUAACGGGAAGGAUGCGAGGAAGCAAGUACGAAACGGACGCUUAAGUGUAGGUAUGGGAACGCCGGACUCUCGAGGAAUUGAUGUCGGACUCGAGUAAAUAAAAUUGAGGGGAUGGUUCAAUGGAAUACCUUACAUAAUUAGAAUGCGAUAUAGCCUUUUAAGUAUAUGUUUUAAAUUAUAUAUGAUGUCACCAUGUACACAUGUUGGUUAUAUAUGGUGACCGCAGGUUAGUCAGAUAUUCAUGAUGGACAAGUGAACGAGGGUCGAGUUAAAGAUCAUGGAUUGUACGGGAGAGCGGUCACGUUGUUUGUAACUACUUGUUAACAUAGUUACGUUAAAUAAAUGAUCAAUGAUGUAUUUAUGUUAAAAGGUUUGACCUAAACGGUAUUCAAGUGUGUUAGAGAAGUUAAAAGAAAGAAAUUUUACGGUUCA